rnacentral:rRNA from 1 species
AUUGAACGCUGGCGGCAGGCUUAACACAUGCAAGUCGAACGAGUGGCGGACGGGUGAGUAAUGCUUGGGAAUCUAGCUUAUGGAGGGGGAUAACUACUGGAAACGGUAGAUUAUACCGCCUAACCUCAGAUGCACCCAUAUGGGAUUAGCUUGUAGGUGAGGUAACGUCUCACCUAGGCGACGAUCCCUAUCUGGUCUGAGAGGAUGAUCAGCCACAAUGGUACUGGGACACGGCCCAGACUCCGACGGGAGGCAGCAGUGGGGAAUAGUGCACAAGGGGCGAAAGCCUGAUGCAGCCAUGCCGCGUGUAUGAAGAAGGCCUUCGGGUUGUAAAGUACUUUCAGUCGGGAGGCGUUACCGACAGAAGAAGCACCGGCUAACUCCGUGCCAGCAGCCGCGGUAAUUC